rnacentral:SRP_RNA from 1 species
CGCGACCCCUCACGUGGCGUCAUCUCGCUGAACUCCCCCAGGGCAGGAAUGCAGCAAGGGCAGGCGGGCUCUGUCGGGUGCGUGGGGGGUCCUUUCA